CCUACGGGAGGCAGCAGUGGGGAAUAUUGCACAAUGGGGGGAACCCUGAUGCAGCGACGCCGCGUGAGUGAAGAAGUAUUUCGGUAUGUAAAGCUCUAUCAGCAGGGAAGAAAGAAAUGACGGUUCCUGACCAAGCAGCCCCGGCUAACUACGUGCCAGCAGCCGCAGUAAUACGUGGGGGGCAAGCGUUAUCCGUAAUUACUGGGUGUAAAGGGAGCGUCGACGGUUAAGUAAGUCUGGAGUGAAAGGCCGGGGCUCAACCCCGGGACUGCUUUGGAAACUAUGGAACUUGAGUGCAGGAGAGGUAAGCGGAAUUCCUAGUGUAGCGGUGAAAUGCGUAGAUAUUAGGAGGAACACCAGUGGCGUAAGCGCUUUACUGGGCCGUAAUUGACGCUGAGGAACGAAAGCGAGGGUAGCAAAUGGGAUUAGAUACCCCAGUAGUC
rnacentral:rRNA from 1 species